rnacentral:rRNA from 1 species
UGGGGAAUAUUGCACAAUGGGCGCAAGCCUGAUGCAGCCAUGCCGCGUGUGUGAAGAAGGUCUUCGGAUUGUAAAGCACUUUAAGUUGGGAGGAAGGGCAUUAACCUAAUACGUUAGUGUUUUGACGUUACCGACAGAAUAAGCACCGGCUAACUCUGUGCCAGCAGCCGCGGUAAUACAGAGGGUGCAAGCGUUAAUCGGAAUUACUGGGCGUAAAGCGCGCGUAGGGGGUUUGUUAAGUUGGAUGUGAAAUCCCCGGGCUCAACCUGGGAACUGCAUUCAAAACUGACUGACUAGAGUAUGGUAGAGGGUGGUGGAAUUUCCUGUGUAGCGGUGAAAUGCGUAGAUAUAGGAAGGAACACCAGUGGCGAAGGCGACCACCUGGACUAAUACUGACACUGAGGUGCGAAAGCGUGGGGAGCAAACA